rnacentral:lncRNA from 1 species
GGGGGAAGAUAAAUGAGUGUGUGUUUCUUCCAAAGGCAAGGCUCUGAAUGAACGGGCGAUAUUGAUCCUUCUUAGAAAUUCCUAAGGCUCAAUGUUGUGUGGAAGAUUCUGAGAAAGAAAAUAGUUUCCGAUCUUUGGGAUUCCCCUGAGAUGGUCCAAUCUGCAAAAAGUUCAUUGCCAUUUCCAUCAAGGACACUGAGAACAAGAGUCUUAUCCGCAUUGAAUCCUGGGAAUUGAGAAGCUUCAGCAGGACCCCACUAGAAAUUGGACUGUUCAACUCACCUGGCAGCCACUCCCAGAGCCCCUGGAACUCCAGCCCAAGGCUCUCUGACUGACUCCUUCCCAGAUCUUCUUGGCUUAGCAGCUGAAGACUGACAAUGCCCGAUCGAUUGCCUCAGAAGCCUACAGGACCAUCACAGAUGCUCUACGUAACUCUCACAGUGGAGGACAGCUUUAAAGACUGCCCCCACCCUAGUCUUGGUUACCUGACCGGGAAGCGAGGUAAUUGGCGGACAGUUGAGGCAGCACUUUAGGCGGCUUAGGCCUGCCCUGUGGAGCAUCCCUGCGGGGGACUCCUGCCAGCUUGAGCGACACGGAUACUGAGAGCUCUCCCAAGUAGGCAAUUGACCCGGUGGAAUGCCUCGUCAGAGCAGUGUGUGGUAGGCCCCCGUGGAGGAUCGACGCAGUGGGUGAACACUGGGAAGGAACAGGCACUUGGAGUCCGGACAUUUGAAACUUGAUGAUCGAGUGUGGAUCAAGGACUGGAAAGUAGCCUCUUUGUGCCCACGGUGGAAAGGACCCCAGACUAUCGUCCUGAGCACUCCCACCGCUGUGAAGGUAGAAGGAAUCCCAGCCUGGAUCCAACACAGCCAUAUAAAACCUGCAGGGCCUGAAACCUGGGAGGCAAGACCAAGCCCAGACAACCCUUGCAGAGUGACCCUGAAGAAGACGACAAGCCCUGCUCCAGUCACACCCAGAAGCUGACUGGUCCACGCACGGCCGAAGCCUGAGGAAGCUCAUCAUGAGAUUCAUUUUUCUUAAAUUUUGGACUUAUACAGUAAGGGCUUCAACUGACCUUACUCAAACUGGGGACUGUUCCCAGUGUAUUCAUCAGGUCACCGAAGUAGGACAGCAAAUUAAAACAAUCUUUCUGUUCUAUAGUUAUGAAUGUAUGGGAACAUUAAAAGAAACUUGUUUGUA